rnacentral:rRNA from 1 species
AUUGAACGCUGGCGGCAUGCCUUACACAUGCAAGUCGAACGGCAGCACGGGAGCUUGCUCCUGGUGGCGAGUGGCGAACGGGUGAGUAAUACAUCGGAACGUACCCUGAAGUGGGGGAUAACGUAGCGAAAGUUACGCUAAUACCGCAUAUUCUGUGAGCAGGAAAGAGGGGGAUCGCAAGACCUCUUGCUUUAGGAGCGGCCGAUGUCGGAUUAGCUAGUUGGUGAGGUAAAGGCUCACCAAGGCGACGAUCCGUAGCGGGUCUGAGAGGAUGAUCCGCCACACUGGGACUGAGACACGGCCCAGACUCCUACGGGAGGCAGCAGUGGGGAAUUUUGGACAAAUGGGCGCAAAGCCUGAUCCGGCCAUGCCGCGUGAGUGAAGAAGGCCUGGUG